CCCCCCGCCCCCGCCCCGGGCCUCGGUCCCCGGCCCCGGCCCUGCCCCGGAGGAGCUGGGCGAUGUGUCCCGGCCGCCCCGGCACCCCCCCCGACCCCCGUCUGCCGGCGGGCUGCCGAGAAGCCGCCUCCCGCGGGGGCGUCGGGCCGGAGCUCGGCCGCCCUGAGCCGUCGGCGGGGGGAGGCUGAGGCGGCCCGGGCUGCCCGAGUCUCUCUGAGGUAACAAGCGGCUCCGCAAGGCCGAGGGGAAAGCCCGCGUCUCCGCUUCCCGCCCAGGCUGCCAGCGGAGAGGCAGGCAGUUGCUCCGGAACGGGGACCUGCCGCGGAGCGGUGACAGCGGCCAGACAGACGCGUUUGCCCGGGUGAGAGGAUUUCGUCCAAAAUCAUGGGGGUUCAGUGAUUGUGAUCCUCGCUUCCUCUGUGACAAUGUGAAAUUACAUCUUCCCAACCAUGAAGUGGUUCAGAAGAAAUUCCAGUUUCUGCAGUUUGAUGGGAUUUGUAGUGAUUAUCCCAAGAAGAUAUCCUUUGGAAGACAGAUAUCCUUUUGGAAGACAUCCUGGAAGAAUCUACAAUGCUCUUAUAUGUCAAGAGGUAUAAAGCACGAGCAACUGCGACCAGCUGCCCUCCCAUCCUGCUCCAUGGACAUCAAAAAAUGCAGAACCUGAAACUUAGCAAAUGGAUGUAUUCCAGGGAUUUGGAUGAAGAAACUGAAUCCUUCUUCACUCUCUGAGAUACUUGAACAAAAUAAUACUGUAGGAAGGUUUUGCAGUGUAGCUGGGUGAAAUGAAGUUUGAGGAAAAUGGUGUGGCACACAUUCAAGGAUGGAUAAAGAAGGAAUGAGGAGAUGCUCUAUGAUGAAUAAAGCACAAAAUCAGUUCACAAACACAAAAACUGGACCAUUUUCAAAAAAGUCAGGUGCACAGUGAGUGGAAGCUGUUCCAAGUCUCAUGCUUAUAUAGCAGCCAGCAGAUGUUUUACAUCCAUGUCUGAGCAACCAGCUCUCUUCUCAUCAGUAUUAAGUGUUCAGCUGACAUUAAAGGGACAGACAGAAUUAAAACUGAGAGCUCAGAAACCUAAGCAGCUUUUCUGAAGUUUGCUAUGUCUACUAAUUAUUGCACAUGCUUCUUUUUUUCUCAAAGGUAUUAAUGAACAUUUUAAAAAUGAGAAGAAUCCUGAGAAGAGCAGCCACAGACACAUAAACAGCUCAAUAAUAACAACAUAUAAAUAUUCUCAAGCAAUAAAUGUGGAAAACACAUAUGAAAACAACAUAACAAAAUUUCAAGAGAUUAGUAUAAAAAAUACAGGAAAGAGACAGAAGUGGCUGCCAAAGGCCUUUGAAUACAGUCCUGUUAACCUCUUCCUCUUCCUGGAUUUUGUGACCUGCUUUGUAAAGUAGUUACAGAUUUGCGUACCAUGUCUGACAGCUCAAAAAAUCACACCACUCUUACAUAACAAAUAUAAGUAGAGAUUAUUUGGUAUAAUAUGUCAUAGAUCAAAGAACACUGGGGUCCAGGUACUCACUCUGACUCCACCUUGACUGCAUACUAGGGGGAAAGCCAGAUGUUUGUGCUCCUUUUCCUUCCGUGAGGCUCUUUUCCACCCGAGGAAGACCUAGACACGUGAGAAAGGAGGGGCUGGUGAUGUACUUGAACAGGUCCCCCAGUGUGGGAUAUCAGUGACUAUUAAUACAGUAUUUACCUUCGAGUGCACCUGAACCACAGUUUUGGUAUCAAGGUCAAGAAAAAAUUGAAGCUCUACCCUAAAGGACUUAGAAUAUCUGUGCAAAUGUAAGUACAUGCUUAUUUUUAAGGAAUGAAAUGAACCACUCUCUCGAUUUAUUCAUCCAGAACUGAAUCAGUAGAUUGACUUUUAGAUUAAUAGGCUAACUUUUAAAUGACAAGAGUUUCACUGUAAGUAAUGUGUGGUUCAAAACUUCUUCUAUUUUAUAUUAAGGGGAAAAAAAGGCUGUGGCGAGGUGAGCGGUUCUGAAGGCAGAGAUGUUCCAGGGGUAACGGGUUGUAGCGCAAAAGGUGCUGAGUGGUUGGAGGGAAAACUCAACAAAUUUAAGAGACACUUUUGUAUCCUGCAAAUGAUCUAAUGUGGACUGUGUAUGAAUUUGAUUUAUUUGGAUACUAGUAUCUUAGUCAGACAUCAUAGUUUUUCUCUAGCCAGCUAAAUACAGCUAAGAAAUUUGUAACUGUAAUGCAGAUAAGUUUCUGGUGCUGAGUCCCACAUCCUAUAUACGUCCUUCAUUCUUCCAUCUGUCCUGGUAACAAAAACAUGGCAUCUGAACUCAUACCCUACUUUUGGUCAUUAGGUGUAUUUAGGGAAAAUAAUGUACAGACCAUUACUUUUCAGCACAAAGUUUCCAAAGCAUUUGCCAGUGCAAAUGCCUAACCCUACUUGCAAGACUUCUCCUUUGUAUUUACCUUAUCUCACAGUCCUUGGAAUCACCUGCGGAGUCCCAGAGAUGCUCAGAGCAUGGACAGAAAACUAGAAGUGUAGAGGGUUCCUCUCUUUCUUCCCAUAGUCAGCAGCUUAGGGACUUGCUGAGCUAAAGGUUGCACCCUUACCACCAUAUGUAACCACUUCUGCCCUCCAUUUGUUUCUUUUCUUUCCUCUCGAUCACUUUCUUUGAACUCUACAUUCAUUCUCUGCUCUUUUUUCUCCCUUAUCAAAUAUGUCCUUAUCGUCAUUUUCAAGAACUUCCCUGGCAUGUUUGCACUGUGUUGUCACCCCUGAUUCUCUAUAAAGAUACUGAUUGCAGCCACCAGCUGGCCAUUUGUUGCAUUUCUCGAUGCAUCCAUUUGGUGCUUCCUCCCAUGCAGCCAUCACAUAUGGGAGAAGAAUGCCAUAAACAUUUAUGCAGUGAAUGCAUUGUGCUUUUCAAAGCUUUCCAGCAAAAAUCUUGAAACUCUUAUGCUGCAGGUGUGCGCGAAGUACUGUCACCCCCAUGCUGACGAGUAAUGACUUCUUGAUUUUCCCGUCUGCUUGUUUGUAUCCACCCGAGUGUUGUCUCAUACACUUGGAUUGUAAAGUUUUCUGGGACCCUGUCCUUUUUACAAGCUUUGCGCAAUUCCUAGUGCAACAAGGUCUUGAUCAGUGAGUAGUGCUUCUGAGCGUGACAAGAAUUACAGACAAGGAUUCUGACAAAAAAUAGCAGUUCUCACUCUUCUUCUGAUACUCCAGUGCCUGUAUUUUACAAGCUUUUCGGUGUGUGAGUAGACAGGAAAGAUCGCUUCCUCAGAACAGUAGGCAAAAAUUUAAGCAUAGCUUGGACACAAGGAACUUGAAAACAAGUUUCAAUCUGACAGUGAUGCUUGGGUUAUAAAUCUGGCAAUCAGAAGAAUUGUGCUGUCAAUAAUGAUUACAAAGGGUGUAGGAGAGAGGAAAUCUUUUGUUGGGCAGACAGCAGAGCACCGUGAUAUAUAUGGGUUGCGAGAGAGGAAUCACUUCUCUUUCAAGCUCUCUUGCUUAGAAGUGAGAAAAAGUAGGAGAAGAUUCAUAGCACUGCAACUCGCCAGGCUGCUCUGUGUUUGCAUAAGCUGUACAUCAGUCACUUUGCCCAUCUGGGAAGUGUAAGAGGCUCAGAAGUCCAGGUCCAGAAAAUUCAUCUCCUGGAGGGACCUAAUAAUAACUAAUGUAAAGGUGCACUGUUAUGUACUGAAGAUGAUCCUGCAGUCCCUAAAAUCCGGCACUGACGGCUACUGUUUUUGUGGAGGAACGUUUCUGUGGCAUGCUGCCAAGGGACAGUGAGAGUCUUUCAGAGGCAGAUUUCUGCCCACAGCAGAUGGAGGUAACAGCCUUUAGUUGCAAACAGAAGCCUAACAACAGCAAGAAAGGACACGACCAUGUAGAAACAGUGGCACAGACAAAGCUGAUGAUGCUUUUAAGGCAGAUGCGUACCACGAAUACCUUGUGAAGGGAAUGUGCAAUGAGCAGCGAGGGACCAAGAACCUUCUCAUGAAGUGCAAGUCAAUUAUCUAUGCAUAUAUCCUCCUAUGCUAGCCGAUGGCAUCUAUUCUUAAUAUCCGCUGUUAAGUAUUCGUGUGUUCACACAUCUUAUGUCGAACUGUGUAAACAAACUGUGUUUCCAGAAAUGCUCUGUACUCAUCUUAUGUUCUACUGUGAAAAUCCAUUAGUAGUUAAAUUCUUGUCAUCCUUGUGCAAUAUACCAAAAAGAUUUGUAACCUUGUUAGUGAACUCAGCAAAGAAAGAGAUAAAAAUAAGCUCUGAUAAUGUCA